UACGAAGGGGGCUAGCGUUGCUCGGAAUUACUGGGCGUAAAGGGCGCGUAGGCGGCACUGUUAGUCAGGCGUGAAAGUCCUGGGCUCAACCUGGGAACUGCGCUUGAUACGGCAGAGCUAGAGGAUGGAAGAGGGUCGCGGAAUUCCCAGUGUAGAGGUGAAAUUCGUAGAUAUUGGGAAGAACACCGGUGGCGAAGGCGGCGACCUGGUCCAUUACUGAG
rnacentral:rRNA from 1 species